rnacentral:rRNA from 1 species
AGCGAACGCUGGCGGCAGGCCUAACACAUGCAAGUCGAACGAACCCUUCGGGGUUAGUGGCGGACGGGUGAGUAACACGUGGGAACGUGCCGUUAGGUUCGGAAUAACUCAGGGAAACUUGUGCUAAUACCGAAUGUGCCCUUCGGGGGAAAGAUUUAUCGCCUUUAGAGCGGCCCGCGUCUGAUUAGCUAGUUGGUGAGGUAAUGGCUCACCAAGGCUACGAUCAGUAGCUGGUCUGAGAGGAUGACCAGCCACAUUGGGACUGAGACACGGCCCAAACUCCUACGGGAGGCAGCAGUGGGGAAUCUUGCGCAAUGGGCGAAAGCCUGACGCAGCCAUGCCGCGUGGAUGAUGAAGGUCUUAGGAUUGUACAAUCCUUUCACCGGUGAAGAUAAUGACUGUAGCCGGAGAAGAAGCCCCGGCUAACUUCGUGCCAGCCGCCGCAGUAAUAC